UUGAACGCUGGCGGCAUGCCUUACACAUGCAAGUCGAACGGUAGAGGAGCAAUCCUCGAGAGUGGCGAACGGGUGAGUAAUGUAUCGGAACGUGCCCAGUAGUGGGGGAUAGCCCGGCGAAAGCCGGAUUAAUACCGCAUGAUACCUGAGGGUGAAAGCGGGGGACUCGCAAGAGCCUCGCGCUACUGGAGCGGCCGAUAUCAGAUUAGGUAGUUGGUGGGGUAAAAGCCUACCAAGCCUGCGAUCUGUAGCUGGUCUGAGAGGACGACCAGCCACACUGGGACUGAGACACGGCCCAGACUCCUACGGGAGGCAGCAGUGGGGAAUUUUGGACAAUGGGCGCAAGCCUGAUCCAGCCAUGCCGCGUGUGGGAAGAAGGCCUUCGGGUUGUAAACCACUUUUGUCAGGGAAGAAACGGUUCCUACUAAUAUUGGGAGCUAAUGACGGUACCUGAAGAAUAAGCACCGGCUAACUACGU
rnacentral:rRNA from 1 species